rnacentral:rRNA from 1 species
UUGUUGCGGUUAAAACGUUCGUAGUUGAAUUUGUGUCCCACACGGGUAAUUGGCCCACUUACGGGUUCUUAUUACUUGCCGGCUUGCUGGCUUUAGUGUGCGGACGUUUUACCGGUGAGGGAAACGGUGUAGUUUCGGCUGCAAUACGCCCCUUAUUUAUUUCAUAAACCCGUCUUGGUGCUUUUAAUCGAGUGCCAAUGUGGGCCGGUACUAUUACUUUGAACAAAUUAGAGUGCUUAAAGCAGGCUAAAUUUAAUGAAAGUUAAAACGCCUGAAUAUAUUUUGCAUGGAAUAAUGGAAUAGGACCUCUGUUCUACUUUCAUUGGUUUUUAGACCAAGAGGUAAUGAUUAAUAGAAGCAGUUGGGGGCAUUAGUAUUACGAGGCGAGAGGUGAAAUUCGUAGACCCUCGUAAGACUAACUUAAGCGAAAGCAUUUGCCAAGGAUGUUUUCAUUAAUCAAGAACGAAAGUUAGAGGAUCGAAGGCGAUCAGAUACCGCCCUAGUUCUAACCAUAAACGAUGCCAGCUAGCAAUUGUAUGUAGCUACUAAUUUGGUUCAUACAGUCGCUUUCCGGGAAACCAAAGCUUUUGGGCUCCGGGGGAAGUAUGGUUGCAAAGCUGAAACUUAAA